CAGCAGCCGCGGGAACACGAAGGGGGCUAGCGUUGCUCGGAAUCACUGGGCGUAAAGCGCACGUAGGCGGAUAUUUAAGUCAGGGGUGAAAUCCCAGAGCUCAACUCUGGAACUGCCUUUGAUACUGGGUAUCUUGAGUAUGGAAGAGGUGAGUGGAAUUCCGAGUGUAGAGGUGAAAUUCGUAGAUAUUGGGAAGAACACCGGUGGCGAAGGCGGCAACCUGGUCCUUCACUGACGCUGAGGCGCGAAAGCGUGGGGAGCAAACAGGAUUAGAUACCCCCGUAGUCCCUGUCUCUUAUAC
rnacentral:rRNA from 1 species